UCCCUGGUUGUCCAGUGGCUAAGACUCCUUGCUUCCAAUGCAGGGUGCACAGGUUCAAUCCCUGGCCAGGGAA
rnacentral:tRNA from 1 species